UACGUAGGGUGCGAGCGUUAAUCGGAAUUACUGGGCGUAAAGCGUGCGCAGGCGGUUUUGUAAGCCCGAUGUGAAAGCGCCGGGCUCAACCUGGGAAUGGCAUUUGGGACUGCAAGGCUGGAGUUUGGCAGAGGAGACUGGAAUUCCUGGUGUAGCAGUGAAAUGCGUAGAUAUCAGGAGGAAUACCGAUGGCGAAGGCAGGUCUCUGGGCUAUAACUGACGCUCAUGCACGAAAGCGUGGGGAGCAAACAGG
rnacentral:rRNA from 1 species